rnacentral:rRNA from 1 species
AUUGAACGCUAGCGGGAUGCUUUACACGUGCAAGUCGAACGAGUGGCGGACGGGUGAGUAAUAUAUCGGAACGUGCCCAGUAGCGGGGGAUAACUACUCGAAAGAGUGGCUAAUACCGCAUACUAUUGGAGCGGACGAUAUCGGACUGGCUAGUUGGUGGGGUAAAGGAUCACCAAGGAAACGAUACGGAGCUGGUGUGAGAGUACUACCAGCCACACUGGGACUGGGAAACGGCCCAGACUCCUUCGGGCGGCAGCAGUGGGGAAUUUUCGACAAGGGUGGAAUCCCUGAUCCAGCCAUCCCGCGUGUAUGAGAAGGCCUUCGAGUUGUAAAGUACUUUUGGCAGAGAAGCGGUAUCUGCAGAAUAAGCACCGGCUAACUACGUGCCAGCAGCCGCGGUAAUUC